AUUGAACGCUGGCGGCAGGCCUAACACAUGCAAGUCGAGCGAGCGGCGGACGGUUGAGUAAUGUCUGGGAAACUGCCUGAUGGAGGGGGAUAACUACUGGAAACGGUAGCUCAUACCGCAUGCCCUCAGCUGUGCCCAGAUGGGAUUAGCUAGUAGGUUGGGUAACGGCUCACCUAGGCGACGAUCCCUAGCUGGUCUGAGAGGAUGACCAGCCACACUGGAACUGAGACACGGUCAAGACUCCGACGGGAGGCAGCAGUGGGGAAGAUUGCACAGUGGGCGCAAGCCUGAUGCAGCCAGGCCGCGGGGGUGAAGAAGGCCUUCGGGUUGUAAAGCACUUGCGGCGGGGAGGCGUGACACGCAGAAGAAGCACCGGCUAACUCCGUGCCAGCAGCCGCGGUAAUAC
rnacentral:rRNA from 1 species